AAUUUCAUGGAACACGCGUCGCACGCACAUUCUACUCUCUUCCUAUUUAAUGAGCUUCCCAACCUAUUCCUUCUACCACAAAUAUCGCUCCUCCACAUACCGAAUUCUAGAGAUCUCUUAUAUUCUUCCCAGAAGAUUUUCAAUUCAGUCGGUCGAGAACUCUCAAUCUAGGUUUUGUUUGCCGAAGCUUGGAGAUAAGGAGCCUCCUGGGUCGUUUGUUUAAUUUAUAAUCAACAUCUUUUUG